CCUACGGGAGGCAGCAGUGGGGAAUCUUUCACAAUGGGCGAAAGCCUGAUGGAGCAACGCCGCGUGCAGGAUGAAGGCCUUCGGGUUGUUAACUGCUUUUAUAAGGGGGAAAUAUGAUGGGAACUUAUGAAUAAGGAUUGGCUAACUACGUGCCAGCUGCCGCGGUCUUACGUAGGAACCGAGCAUUAUACGGAGUGAGUGGGCGUAAAGAGGUGUGUAGGUGGGAUAAGAAGGAGCUGGGGAAAUCGUGGGGCUCAACCAUUCAGACUAGUAGCUAAACUGGUAAGCUCGAGAGCGUUAGGGGUAACUGGAAUUUCUGGUGUAGGAGUGAAAUGCGUAGAUAUUAGGAAGAACACCGAUAGCGUAGGCAGGUUACUGGGACGGUUCUGACACUGAGGCACGAAAGCGUAGGGAGCAAACGGGAUUAGAUACCCCAGUAGUC
rnacentral:rRNA from 1 species